rnacentral:lncRNA from 1 species
UAGGACUGUAGUCAUCUGAAGACUAACCUCAUCUGGAUGGCCAAGAUGGCUUCUUUAAUCUCAUGUUGGGAUAACUGUAACACCUCCAUGUGGCCAACUUGGGUUUCCUCACAGCAUGGCCAACUUAGAGUUAUUGGUGGAACUUUUUAUAUGGUAGCUGGCUUUCCCCAGAAUGUUCCAAGAAACCAAGUCAAAAGUUGCAAAUGUUACAUAGUGAAACUAUUGUCACAUUUAAUGUUUCAACAAGGCCGGCCCAAAUUCAGUGUGGGAAAAGACCACAAAAGAGGCAGAAUAAUUGGAGGCGUGGUUCACAGGGGGGCCCUCUGUUGAGACUAGCUUCCAUACCUGGUUGUUCCUUGACAAUGAAAUCGACAGAACAAGUGCUUAAUGGUUAUGUGGUCAUACUUAAAAAGGGAGAUUAAUGUAAGUGUAAGCUUUCAGGAUAUUAGUGUUCAUUAUACAAAUGUAAGUUAUCAUUAUUAUAAGUCCUUGGGCUUGCUAUGUAAUUUCAACUAUUUUGACCUAAGGAAUGUGGCCAGUUCACUCCUCUUUUGAUCCCAUGUGAUGGUGAUUAAGUGAUUUUGCAUAAAUCAAUUUAUUCUACAAGUAGAAUCCAGGCGUGCACACUAUGUUGCUUCCUCUGAAUGUUUUUAUGGCUCAACCAAACCAUGUGAAGAAAAGAUACACUUAGAACAAAUUACAGGCUGGAGUCAGCUUGGAAAACUUUGUGUUAUAUGAAAGCACAAACCCUGACAGACCUGCAAAACCUCUUAGACAAUUCAUCAGACAUAAAAGACUAUUGCUGAGACAUUUAACACUGGAUAUUAAAAGCUGUUCGCAGCACUCAAAAGACAAUAUAUGGCAGACUCUAUUUCUACUUUCUUUAAUUUGGAAGUUCUAUCUUUAGUAGCAAUUUACAUUUUCCACACAAUUAAAGACUGUACCUAUUUCUGAUAUGCACUUCAAGUAUCCAAUUCGUCUGUGAUUUACAUUUUCUUCUCUGUUUAUCUGUUUAUUUCCCUCUCAGUUAGAAAACGAGGUUUUAAAUUUUGGCAUCAUCACUUAAAAUCUGGGUAAUGCUGGG